rnacentral:rRNA from 1 species
GGAUCCACACUUUGAUUAUGGCUCAGGACGAACGCUAGCUACAGGCUUCACACAUGCAAGUCGAGGGGAAACGACAUCGAAAGCUUGCUUUUGAUGGGCGUCGACCGGCGCACGGGUGAGUAACGCGUAUCCAACCUGCCCACCACUUGGGGAUAACCUUGCGAAAGUAAGACUAAUACCCAAUGACGUCUCUAGAAGACAUCUGAAAGAGAUUAAAGAUUUAUCGGUGAUGGAUGGGGAUGCGUCUGAUUAGCUUGUUGGCGGGGUAACGGCCCACCAAGGCAACGAUCAGUAGGGGUUCUGAGAGGAAGGUCCCCCACAUUGGAACUGAGACACGGUCCAAACUCCUACGGGAGGCAGCAGUGAGGAAUAUUGGUCAAUGGACGAGAGUCUGAACCAGCCAAGUAGCGUGCAGGAUGACGGCCCUAUGGGUUGUAAACUGCUUUUAUAAGGGAAUAAAGUGAGUCUCGUGAGACUUUUUGCAUGUACCUUAUGAAUAAGGACCGGCUAAUUCCGUGCCAGCAGCCGCGGUAAUGCGGAAGGUCCGGGCGUUAUCCGGAUUUAUUGGGUUUAAAGGGAGCGUAGGCCGGAGAUUAAGCGUGUUGUGAAAUGUAGACGCUCAACGUCUGCACUGCAGCGCGAACUGGUUUCCUUGAGUACGCACAAAGUGGGCGGAAUUCGUGGUGUAGCGGUGAAAUGCUUAGAUAUCACGAAGAACUCCGAUUGCGAAGGCAGCUCACUGGAGCGCAACUGACGCUGAAGCUCGAAAGUGCGGGUAUCGAACAGGAUUAGAUACCCUGGUAGUCCGCACGGUAAACGAUGGAUGCCCGCUGUUGGUCUGAAUAGGUCAGCGGCCAAGCGAAAGCAUUAAGCAUCCCACCUGGGGAGUACGCCGGCAACGGUGCAACUCAAAGGAAUUGACGG